rnacentral:rRNA from 1 species
GGGUUGUGAGGUUAAGCGACUAAGCGUACACGGUGGAUGCCCUGGCAGUCAGAGGCGAUGAAGGGCGUGCUAAUCUGCGAUAAGCGCCGGUAAGGUGAUAUGAACCGUUAUAACCGGCGAUACCCGAAUGGGGAAACCCAGUGUGAUUCGUCACACUAUCAUUAACUGAAUCCAUAGGUUAAUGAGGCGAACCGGGGGAACUGAAACAUCUAAGUACCCCGAGGAAAAGAAAUCAACCGAGAUUCCCCCAGUAGCGGCGAGCGAACGGGGAGGAGCCCAGAGCCUGAAUCAGCAUGUGUGUUAGUGGAAGCGUCUGGAAAGGCGCGCGAUACAGGGUGACAGCCCCGUACACAAAAGCGCAUGUGCUGUGAGCUCGAUGAGUAGGGCGGGACACGUGGUAUCCUGUCUGAAUAUGGGGGGACCAUCCUCCAAGGCUAAAUACUCCUGACUGACCGAUAGUGAACCAGUACCGUGAGGGAAAGGCGAAAAGAACCCCGGCGAGGGGAGUGAAAAAGAACCUGAAACCGUGUACGUACAAGCAGUGGGAGCACAGGUUUACCUGUGUGACUGCGUACCUUUUGUAUAAUGGGUCAGCGACUUAUAUUCUGUAGCAAGGUUAACCGAAUAGGGGAGCCGGAGGGAAACCGAGUCUUAAUUGGGCGUUAAGUUGCAGGGUAUAGACCCGAAACCCGGUGAUCUAGCCAUGGGCAGGUUGAAGGUUGGGUAACACUAACUGGAGGACCGAACCGACUAAUGUUGAAAAAUUAGCGGAUGACCUGUGGCUGGGGGUGAAAGGCCAAUCAAACCGGGAGAUAGCUGGUUCUCCCCGAAAGCUAUUUAGGUAGCGCCUCGUGAAUUCAUCUCCGGGGGUAGAGCACUGUUUCGGCUAGGGGGCCAUCCCGGCUUACCAACCCGAUGCAAACUGCGAAUACCGGAGAAUGUUAUCACGGGAGACACACGGCGGGUGCUAACGUCCGUCGUGAAGAGGGAAACAACCCAGACCGCCAGCUAAGGUCCCAAAGUCAUGGUUAAGUGGGAAACGAUGUGGGAAGGCCCAGACAGCCAGGAUGUUGGCUUAGAAGCAGCCAUCAUUUAAAGAAAGCGUAAUAGCUCACUGGUCGAGUCGGCCUGCGCGGAAGAUGUAACGGGGCUAAACCAUGCACCGAAGCUGCGGCAGCGACGCUUAUGCGUUGUUGGGUAGGGGAGCGUUCUGUAAGCCUGUGAAGGUGUGUCGUGAGGCAUGCUGGAGGUAUCAGAAGUGCGAAUGCUGACAUAAGUAACGAUAAAGCGGGUGAAAAGCCCGCUCGCCGGAAGACCAAGGGUUCCUGUCCAACGUUAAUCGGGGCAGGGUGAGUCGACCCCUAAGGCGAGGCCGAAAGGCGUAGUCGAUGGGAAACGGGUUAAUAUUCCCGUACUUGGUGUUACUGCGAAGGGGGGACGGAGAAGGCUAUGUUGGCCGGGCGACGGUUGUCCCGGUUUAAGCGUGUAGGUGUGUGUUCCAGGUAAAUCCGGUUCACUUUAACACUGAGGCGUGAUGACGAGGCACUACGGUGCUGAAGCAACAAAUGCCCUGCUUCCAGGAAAAGCCUCUAAGCAUCAGGUAACAUCAAAUCGUACCCCAAACCGACACAGGUGGUCAGGUAGAGAAUACCAAGGCGCUUGAGAGAACUCGGGUGAAGGAACUAGGCAAAAUGGUGCCGUAACUUCGGGAGAAGGCACGCUGACACGUAGGUGAAGUGAUUUACUCAUGGAGCUGAAGUCAGUCGAAGAUACCAGCUGGCUGCAACUGUUUAUUAAAAACACAGCACUGUGCAAACACGAAAGUGGACGUAUACGGUGUGACGCCUGCCCGGUGCCGGAAGGUUAAUUGAUGGGGUCAGCGCAAGCGAAGCUCCUGAUCGAAGCCCCGGUAAACGGCGGCCGUAACUAUAACGGUCCUAAGGUAGCGAAAUUCCUUGUCGGGUAAGUUCCGACCUGCACGAAUGGCGUAAUGAUGGCCAGGCUGUCUCCACCCGAGACUCAGUGAAAUUGAACUCGCUGUGAAGAUGCAGUGUACCCGCGGCAAGACGGAAAGACCCCGUGAACCUUUACUAUAGCUUGACACUGAACAUUGAGCCUUGAUGUGUAGGAUAGGUGGGAGGCUUUGAAGUGUGGACGCCAGUCUGCAUGGAGCCGACCUUGAAAUACCACCCUUUAAUGUUUGAUGUUCUAACGUGGACCCGUGAUCCGGGUUGCGGACAGUGUCUGGUGGGUAGUUUGACUGGGGCGGUCUCCUCCUAAAGAGUAACGGAGGAGCACGAAGGUUGGCUAAUCCUGGUCGGACAUCAGGAGGUUAGUGCAAUGGCAUAAGCCAGCUUGACUGCGAGCGUGACGGCGCGAGCAGGUGCGAAAGCAGGUCAUAGUGAUCCGGUGGUUCUGAAUGGAAGGGCCAUCGCUCAACGGAUAAAAGGUACUCCGGGGAUAACAGGCUGAUACCGCCCAAGAGUUCAUAUCGACGGCGGUGUUUGGCACCUCGAUGUCGGCUCAUCACAUCCUGGGGCUGAAGUAGGUCCCAAGGGUAUGGCUGUUCGCCAUUUAAAGUGGUACGCGAGCUGGGUUUAGAACGUCGUGAGACAGUUCGGUCCCUAUCUGCCGUGGGCGCUGGAGAACUGAGGGGGGCUGCUCCUAGUACGAGAGGACCGGAGUGGACGCAUCACUGGUGUUCGGGUUGUCAUGCCAAUGGCACUGCCCGGUAGCUAAAUGCGGAAAAGAUAAGUGCUGAAAGCAUCUAAGCACGAAACUUGCCCCGAGAUGAGUUCUCCCUGAGACUUAGAGUCUCCUGAAGGAACGUUGAAGACGACGACGUUGAUAGGCCGGGUGUGUAAGCACAGCGAUGCGUUGAGCUAACCGGUACUAAUGAACCGUGAGGCUUAACCUUACAACGCCGAAG